AUCCUGGAGUGAUGAGAUCAACAAAUUACAGUUAUCCCUGUCUGAUUAACUGUGUUGAAAAGUUGUGAUCUGACAAGGAA